UGCCCCAGCUCAGACCAGGGCUGCACACGUUUACCUGCAGUGUGCAUGCUUCUACCAGGAGACAUCACCUCCCAAAUUCCCUGAGGGACAGUUGCCAAAAUUAUUAAAUGAAGAACUGCUCUAUCAGGGAUUGAAAGCUGACGCGAUUCCACCUAUGACCCCCAGGGGGCGGAAGUGCACCUCAGCUCCCAGCUAUGGCCUGCGAAAGCAGUAGAAGAUGGCCCAAAUCCUUGGGCCCUGCACCCAGGUGGGAGAAAUGGAAGCUCCUGGCUCCUGGCUCCUGGCUCGGAUUGGCACAGCUCCAGCCAUUGUGGCCAACUGGGGUGUGAAUCAUCGGAUGGAAGACCUCUCUCUCUCUGCCUCUCUUCUCUCUGUGUAACUCUGAA